AUUUCUGUAGUCUUUAUGGCUCAGUCUUGCUCUCCUGAGAUCCGAGACCAUUUCGGAAGCAGUGGUAGGUGCAUGUUUAGAGAUGACUUAUGCUGGGCAUCCUACAAGGACCUGGAAGCCUCAGCUGUCCCCACGUGGUGGUCAGCUGAAACUCUGCUUAUUUAAAAAUGAAAGAAGGCUAAAGAGAGUUUGGUGAACAGCUUGCAAAACGCAUCAAAAUAACAAUACAUGAUAACAUUUAAAAAAAUACUCCAGGAUAGGAGGCUUGCCCAGAAGUGGUAAAGCCCAUAGAAGACUGAGAUAUAGAAGAACUUGGACGAGGCCAUGGGAGAAAAACUGGAAUAGUUUUUUGUCAAUGUUCACCUUAAUGUAUUGUGGGGAGCACCUUUACUUGGGACUCAAAAGAAGCUUCAUGCCAAAAUGAAGUGCUGGUAGAAAAGCUUAUGGAAAAAGUCUAGGAAAUGAAGAGUUACAGUCAAGACUGGGUGCUAUUUAUGAUUGUGAAGCCAAGGAAGAACCAGCUGAACCAUUAUCAGUGGUGUAUUUUCCUCCUUAAGUAUGGCUCAUCAUCAGAAAACCAGGAGGUGCUGAAUUUAGUACCAACUUUUAUCAAAUGGCUGGCGAGAGCAAUGCAACAGCAAGUUUAAAUCUUGGUGAAAUUUAAUAGUAUCUCCCAGUUUCUGACACCCCAUUCCUGAUCUGCCCCGAAAGGCAGGAACAUCACCUGUGUAUCUUUUCAGAGCCACGUGCAGAUCUCAGUCUGGAUUCCAGGCAAAACCAGCUCAAGCCCCUCAGUUUGUCUGCAAUACCAGGGUCUUGGUGAAGCUCCACCUGCUCAGCUCUUGGUCAAGUGCUGCCCUCUUCCACCUGCUGCAGCAGCAUCCAACCUGGCACUCAUCUUCCACCCUGCCUCCAGCCUUCACCUCACACACAGCUUUGGAUGUCAGGGAAACCCCUGGUCUGGGAGAAGGUCACUCAUCUUUGGGAGCUACAACUCAUGAAAUUAUUUCUAUAAAACGUUAUUUGAAUUGAAUUGGCUGAGCUGUGCCGCAGAAUCACAGAACUGCAGAAGUUUUGAGGUCGGAAGGGACCUUUGGAGAUCAUCCACCCCAUCACUCCUGCCAAGGCAGGGUCACCUGGAGCAGGUGACACAGGAGCACAUCCAGCUGGCCUUUUCAAAGUUGCCUCUGGAAACGCAUGGGGCAAAUUCUGUGAUCCUUCAAGUGCUGACUAUAAACAGGCUGAUAAAGUCCAACCAAAGAUGAUGAGAGCUUCACUAACUGAUGAUGCAUCAUUGCUUCAGGGGAUGGCAGAUUGGUUUGUCUGCACACUUUGAGCUGCAUCCUUGGAAGACACUAAAAUGUGUGAAAUCCCUCAGGAAAAAAAAAAAAUUGAAAUUCUUUAUUAUCUCCUCUUCAAAACGCCCAGCAUCCAUCAGAGAAGGUGAGCAGCUUUACU